AGAGUUUGAUCCUGGCUCAGGAUGAACGCUAGCUACAGGCUUAACACAUGCAAGUCGAGGGGCAGCAUGGUCUUAGCUUGCUAAGGCCGAUGGCGACCGGCGCACGGGUGAGUAACACGUAUCCAACCUGCCGUCUACUCUUGGACAGCCUUCUGAAAGGAAGAUUAAUACAAGAUGGCAUCAUGAGUCCGCAUGUUCACAUGAUUAAAGGUAUUCCGGUAGACGAUGGGGAUGCGUUCCAUUAGAUAGUAGGCGGGGUAACGGCCCACCUAGUCUUCGAUGGAUAGGGGUUCUGAGAGGAAGGUCCCCCACAUUGGAACUGAGACACGGUCCAAACUCCUACGGGAGGCAGCAGUGAGGAAUAUUGGUCAAUGGGCGCAAGCCUGAACCAGCCAAGUAGCGUGAAGGAUGACUGCCCUAUGGGUUGUAAACUUCUUUUAUAAAGGAAUAAAGUCGGGUAUGGAUACCCGUUUGCAUGUACUUUAUGAAUAAGGAUCGGCUAACUCCGUGCCAGCAGCCGCGGU
rnacentral:rRNA from 1 species